CCGCCAUUUGCAACAGUCUCUGACGCAUGGCGACGGGAUAGCAUUGUUUAGCUGUACAGAUCCCGUCUUCUUUUUACAUCAUUAAUGCAUUAAUAUUUUUCUCAUUGAUCCCGUAAAGCCGUCAAGAUUACGGCCGUAAAAGAAGAAGCAAACGGUCUUGAAGCUUCUGUGCAGGGAGGCUUGGCUGUCUUCUACACAGAAAGCCCAGAGGGCUUCUGCCGUUCAAAGAAAAAAUUUAACUUCAACGCAGAGCCACCGUGGGAUCCCAGCUAGUAUUUGCUAAAAGCAGGUGUUCCCUCUGGCCAGAUUGUUUGUAUACCCUUGAACUCAGACUAUCUUUGCGGACUUUUGAGCUAGAAAA